AUUUCUGCAACUCACGUCCUCUGUCUCGUUUCUCUCGUCUUUCUACUCUGUUGUUGAUACUGAUAAUAGUCGACCUCUUACCACAGUGACAACCGGUCGGCACCCAAUGACGACACCGGUGUUAGGGUUUCAAUAUUGGCUCGAACAUUGAGUUCUCUCCUUGCUCUCUCUCUCCCUCUUGCGUGCACUCUCUGUCUUUCAGACCUUUCACCACCGGAUGGCAUCCAAUAACGACAUCGGAGUCAAUAGGUUUUGAAACCAGGACCAAAGAAUAAGGUUCGAGUUGUUGGUACAGCAUUAUUAAACAUUGCUGAAUUUGCUUCUGCAGCUGAAGAGAAAGAGCUUGAAAUAAAUGUCCCUCUCAUUCCGCUUAGUGGCAAUGUUGAUCCUCAACCCUCUCUUUGUUUAUCUCUCAGCUUAUUGGAAUUAAGAACCACCCAAGAACAUGCAGAGACAAUACCAAGAUUGAUAGUUUCGGUUCCACUGUCACCUCGGUCUAGAGAAUCUAUCUCAACAGAGAGGAAUGAUUUUUUUGCUCUCAAAGCAGGUCUAAGAAAAGUAAAAAUAUUCACAAAGCAUGUAUCAACUAAAAGAUCUAAGAAGGCAUGCCAUGAGGAAGAGGGGAGUGAGGACAGGUGCUCUACAAGGAGUGACGGUGCUGAUUGUAUAUACCCAUUACUCCCUUGAUGAUUUUGAUGAUGAAAAAUUGGAGGAUGGGAAGGGAGAUUCUAGUUUUAGGAAGUCAUUCAAUUAUGGUACCUCGGCAUAUGCAAACAGCACUGGGAGAUCAUUUUACUCUGACAAGAGGAUAAUGGGGAUUAUGAGGAUUGGAUUAACUACAGCAACCACAAAUUGGAUGUGAGCUGCUUGCAUGUCAAGGAUUUGGUGGCAUCAAACAGAUGUAGGAGGGCUUGGGCUCCUUCUCGUAUCAGAACGGAGAAGAAGCUAUUGACAAGCUAAAAGCAAAUACCAGAAGACUUGUUCAUUCAAGGUUUACAUCUGGACAACAUUCUUGUUGUUUUUUCUUGCCAUAUUCAAUGCUUGCAUUGCCAUCACUAAAUUUGGAAGGAUUGCGUGGGGCGUUUUGGCAUGUUAAUAUUAUAGUUGUUCUUUUAAUCCAAGAGGCCAACAAGGAUUGCAUUAUAUUUUGCAUAGGUAAAUAUUUAUUUUUAUCAAUAUCUCGUUUACUUUAUAUUUUCUAACAAUUUAUAUGUUUAAGUGGAUUUGCAUUGGAAGAUGUGCUACAUUAUUUGACAAAUUGAAUGUUUCUGAAGUCCUUGUA